rnacentral:rRNA from 1 species
UAGGGAAUCUUCGGCAAUGGACGAAAGUCUGACCGAGCAACGCCGCGUGAGUGAAGAAGGUUUUCGGAUCGUAAAACUCUGUUGUUAGAGAAGAACAAGGACGUUAGUAACUGAACGUCCCCUGACGGUAUCUAACCAGAAAGCCACGGCUAACUACGUGCCAGCAGCCGCGGUAAUACGUAGGUGGCAAGCGUUGUCCGGAUUUAUUGGGCGUAAAGCGAGCGCAGGCGGUUUCUUAAGUCUGAUGUGAAAGCCCCCGGCUCAACCGGGGAGGGUCAUUGGAAGCUGGGAGACUUGAGUGCAGAAGAGGAGAGUGUAAUUCCAUGUGUAGCGGUGAAAUGCGUAGAUAUAUGGAGGAACACCAGUGGCGAAGGCGGCUCUCUGGUCUGUAACUGACGCUGAGGCUCGAAAGCGUGGGGAGCAAACAGG